UGCAUCGAAGAUAAAAACACGGUGCCCGUCGGGUAGUCGGGCCGUGGGCGUUCGCCCGCCAGUAACCUGCCUCCUUGGUUGUCCCUUCUUCGCGUAGCCCUA
rfam:Collinsella stercoris DSM 13279 Scfld3 genomic scaffold, whole genome shotgun sequence.